UUCCUCUGUUGUUCACUUCACUUCCUCCUUUGGAUUUCCCUUUUUUUUCCUCCUUAGGUUCAAUCUUUUCUUACUAGAACUUUAUCAUUCUUUGUUUUCUUUAUUUUCUUCUCACACACACACACACACACACACACACACACACAACCUAACCCCUCCAGGUCUCGCCGGUACUGGGGGCAGAUAUCCGGCUGUUACCCCCAGUCGGGGGACCACGGCUGUGGGAAGCGCCCCCCUGACCUCCGGGGCUCCCUGGUUCCGCGGUGCCUGUCGCCUGAGGCCCCCGGACGCCACCUGUACCCGGUGGUCUUCCUCCUGGUGUCCUCCCACCUGCUGGUCCUCUGGCUCAUCCUCAGCCUGGUGGUCCUGCUGGCCAGAGACCAGUAGGCCCGGGAGCGCCGGGAGCAUGGGUUUAUUUGUCCUCACGCAGAAACACGUACUUUUAUCAGAAAUCUUCUUCCAACCAUAUUUUCAGUAAGGGACGGGUGCAGGAUGGACAACGUGCAGAAGAACGUGGGCAGCAGGAAGUUUGCCUUCAGCGGCGUUCAGCUGCUCACUUUCCCCAGACUGUACCGACCUCCAGACGGCAGCUUCGGAUAAAACACCCAUGGUUGUUUUUAUUCUGUGUACAGAUUUGUUGUUGUUUUUUCAUAAGAUUGAUUGUUUCAUACUGUGAGUCUCAUUGUUUUAAUGGUAACGUGUUUGACUAAUAAAGAAAUACUUUAUUUAUUUCCAACAAA